AACGAACGCUGGCGGCAUGCCUAACACAUGCAAGUCGAACGAGACCUUCGGGUCUAGUGGCGCACGGGUGCGUAACGCGUGGGAACCUGCCCUUAGGUUCGGAAUAACUCCCCGAAAGGGGUGCUAAUACCGGAUAAUGUCUUCGGACCAAAGAUUUAUCGCCUUUGGAUGGGCCCGCGUUGGAUUAGCUAGUUGGUAGGGUAAAAGCCUACCAAGGCGACGAUCCAUAGCUGGUCUGAGAGGAUGAGCAGCCACACUGGGACUGAGACACGGCCCAGACUCCUACGGGAGGCAGCAGUGGGGAAUAUUGGACAAUGGGCGAAAGCCUGAUCCAGCAAUGCUGCGUGAGUGAUGAAGGCCUUAGGGUUGUAAAGCUCUUUUACCCGGGAUGAUAAUGACAGUACCGGGAGAAUAAGCUCCGGCUAACUCCGUG
rnacentral:rRNA from 1 species